GCCGGGAUCGGCCAAUCAGGUGGGCCGCCAGUCUGAGAAGCUGGUGUCCGCAAGGACGUCCGGGUUCAAAUCCCGGUCCCGGCG
rnacentral:tRNA from 1 species